rnacentral:rRNA from 1 species
GACGAACCGUACAAACGUUACGCGGAAUUACUGGGCUUAAAGGGUGCGUAGGCUGCGCGGAAAGUUGGAUGUGAAAGCCCUCAGCUCAACUGGGGAAUUGCAUUCAAAACUACCGUGCUCGAGGGAGACAGAGGUAAGCGGAACUCAAGGUGUAGCGGUGAAAUGCGUUGAUAUCUUGAGGAACACCGGUGGCGAAGGCGGCUUACUGGGUCUUUUCCGACGCUGAGGCACGAAAGACAAGGUAGCAAACGGGAUUAGAUACCCCGGUAGUCUUGGCGGUAAACGAUGAGCACUUGAUUGAAGGGUCCUCCAUAGCCUUUCAGUCGUAGCGAAAGUGUUAAGUGCUCCGCCUGGGGAGUAUGGUCGCAAGGCUG